AUUAUGGUUGAACAAUGAUGGCAAACUUUGUGAAACUCAUAGAAGAUUCAUAUUUCCAGGAAGCUUCAUCUUCAACUCUGUUUGUUGUGAUUCAAUCAACAAAAUAGAAGGUCAGUUCCUGGUACAAUGUAGGCUGACUUUCUGAUUCUCAAUGUUUAACACAAACAUGUUAUGAAUGUAUUUAAUUAAUAUUGUUGGUCUAUGAUGAAAGAUUAGCAUAAUCAAAUAUGAUUCAAAGCUCUACAUAAUUAGUGAUGAAAUCUGCAUACAUCAACAUAAACAACAAGGAACAAAUUCAUCUGCAUACAUCAACAUAAACAAAAAGGAACAAAUAGAUGAGCACAGAAGUACUUCCAUAAAAUCCAAUUGUAUCUGAAAAUUCAACCAGAAAAAAAUAUGUAAAUUAAAAUAAUGAUAAGCUUAAAAAUUCCCAGCUAGUAAAUGAACCUUUAAACAAAACCCAAAUGACAUAAACCUUUGAACGAAACCCAAAUUACACAAAUGAAGUAAAAACGGAAUCAAAUACUCAGAUUUAAAAGUGACAACAGAGAAUCAAAGAGUUCUUAUUAUGGAUAUUCAUAGAAAAAUGGAAAACCAUGAAAUGGAGGAAAUUGCGUUUGAUAGUUCAGAAUAUGAAAUUGAUUUCCGUUUUCACAUCUCAGAAAAUCGCAUUCAUAUUUGAUACAAUAAACUCACAACAAUUUUCGAUUUCGACCAUUUAUCUCAGUGGGGGCUUCGAUUUAGAGCUUGGCUAAGGUUCGGUUUCAGCAAUGGGAUGGUGUGCGACGUCGGCUCUGGCGGUGCGAGGGCGUCGCCGGUGCUCUGUGACGUCAAAGAUGCAGAGGCAGAAAAGAUGGGGGUUUGGUGUUCGAUGGACGGAAGAAGAGAGACGAGGUCGGAAGAAGAGAAAGUUUUUUGAAAUGCUUAUCAUCAAGUCCACUAACG
rnacentral:lncRNA from 1 species